AUUUCAGAUGUCAAUACUUUGUGUGCUCUUGAAAUAGGAAACGUACAGAUCCCUAUUGCCAGACACAUCAUUCUCUCCAUCCAGAAAGCCAACUUUGCAAGGACAAAAAAAAAAAAAAAAAAAAAAAAAAUUAGUGUGAAACAAAAUGUGGCUUUUCCAAAGACAGAUGUGAUUAUUUAUAGUCAAUGUGGCCUCAAAAUGUCAUUGAUUGUGAAAUAGCAAACAUGCAGGAUCAUAAUAAAUAUUUGGAUGGAAUCUCGCACUGUCUCCCAGGCUGGAGUGCAGUGGUGCGAUCUCUGCUCACUGCAACCUCUGCCUCCAGGCUUCCAGUGAUUCUCCUGCUUCAGCCUCCCGAGUAGCUGGGACUACAGGCGCACCUCACCACACCCAGCUUAUUUUUAGUAGAGACGAGGUUUCACUAUGUUGGCCAGGAUGGUCUCGAUCUCCUGACCUCGUGAUCUGCCCACCUCAGCCUCCCAAAGUGCUGGGAUAAUAUGCAUGACCCACAGUGCCCGGCCUAUGCUUUUUUUCUUUUUUUUGAGAUGGAGUCUCGCUCAGUCACCCAGGCUGGAGUACAGUGGCGCGAUCUCAGCUCACUGUAACCUCCGCCUCCCAGGCUCAAGCAAUUCUCAUGCCUCAGCCUCCUGAGUGGCUGGGAUUAUAGGUGUGUGCCACCACACCCUGCUAUUUUUUUUUUUUUUUUUUUUUUUUUUUUGAGACGGGUCUCGCCCUGUUGCCAGGCUGAAGUGCAAUGGCUCACUGCAACAUUUGCCUCCCGGGUUCAAGUGAUUCUCCUGCCUCACUCUCCCUAGUUGCUGGGAUUACAGGUGUGCGCUACCACAUCCAGCUAAUUUUUCUAUUUUUAGUAAAGAUGGGGUUUCACCAUGUUGGCCAGGGUGGUGUCUUGAUCUCCUAACCUUGUGAUCCACCCACCUCAGCCUCCCGAAGUGCUGGAAUUACAGGCGGGAGCCAUUGCGCCUGGCCUAAUAUUUGUAUUUUUAGUAAAGAUGGGGUUUUACCAGGUUGACCAGGCUGGUCUCGAACUCCUGACCACAAGUGAUCCAACCGCCUCGGCCUCCCAAAGUGCUGGGAUUACAAGCGUGAGCCACUGCGUCCAGUCUCUUGGCCUCUAAAAUUUUUUUUUUUUUUUGAAACGGUGUCUUGCUGUGUCACCCAGGCUGGAGUGCAGUGGCGUGAUCUCGGCUCACUGCAAGCUCCGCCUCCCAAGUUCAUGCCAUUCUCCUGCCUCAGCCUCCCGAGUAGCUGGGACCACAGACACCCACCACCAUGUCCAGCUAAUUUUUUGUAUUUAUAGUAGAGAUGGGGUUUCACCAUGUUAGCCAGGAUGUUCUCGAUCUCCUGACCUCGUGAUCCGCCCGCCUCAGCCUCCCAAAGUGCUGGGAUUACACGUGUGAGCCACCGUGCCUGGCCAGGCCUCUAAAUUUUUAAGAUUUACUUUUUAAUUUUGUGUGUGUGUAUAUAUAUGUGUGUGCGUGUGUGUGUGUGUGUGUGUGUUUGAGACAGAGUUUCGCUCUUGUUGCCCAGGCUGGAGUGCAAUGGCAUGAUCUCAGCUCACUGCAACCUCUGCCUCCUGGGUUCAAGCAAUUCUCCUGCCUCAGCCUCCCAAGUAGCUGGGAUUACAGGCAUAUGUGCCACCAUGCCCAGCAGAUUUUGUAUUUUUAGUAGAGAUGGGGUGUCUCCAUGUUGCUCAGGCUGGUCUCGAACUCCCGACCUCAGGUGAUCCACCUGCCUCGGCCUACCAAAGUGCUGGGAUUACAGGUGUGAGCCACUAUGCCCAGCCUAAGAUUGACUUUUGAGAGAUAUUCUACUUACCUCUACUUACCAAGAGGAAAAGAGAUAUAAACAUAUUAAAUAACAAGCAUUUUAUAUACAUUUCCCAGUUAAUCUACGUAAUAACCCUAUGAAUACAGAUGAGAAAAGUACAGCUACAGGAAAUAAAGAAGCCUUCCCACAGUAACACUGCCUAUAAAUGACGGAAUAAACUCAGGAUGUUUUGAAUUCAAAGCUUAUGUAUGCUCUAUGCACUUCACUCUGCUUCCUGAGGCAGGUGAGAUGUUUAAUAUCUACUUGCCUGAAUGUUAAUGUCUGCCCACAGAAAUAAGUCGGAGCUCUGGAGUAGAGAACACCCGAUGAUUCAGAAUCGUUCCGGAGUGCUAUAUUUCUUCGACUGCUCAGACUGUACCCCUCAAAACCAGCUGUCCACUCUUUUUCAAGGCAAAGAUAUUGAAAACUGUUAGAAUCUCUUGAGGGAUAUCUUCAAUACAGACACGUUAAAUAAAACAUGGAAAUGGGAGACUACUCUUAG
rnacentral:lncRNA from 1 species